rnacentral:rRNA from 1 species
GAUAAACGCUGGCGGCGUGCAUAACACAUGCAAGUCGAACGAUGAAGAUUAAAAGAUUUCUUCGGAAUGAACUUAAUUGGCUUAGUGGCGGACGGGUGAGUAACGCGUGAGUAACCUGCCUUGUACAAGGGGAUAGCCGUUGGAAACGACGAAUAAUACCCUAUGACAUCAAAUAAUCGCAUGAUAAUUUGAUCAAAGAUUUAUCGGUAUAAGAUGGACUCGCGUCUGAUUAGCUAGUUGGUAGAGUAAAAGCCUACCAAGGCAACGAUCAGUAGCCGGCUUGAGAGGGUGAGCGGCCACAUUGGGAAUGAAACACGGCCCAGGCCCCUACGGGAGGCAGCAGGGGGGAAUUUUGAAAAAGGGGGGAAACCCGGAUGCAGCGACGCGGGGUGAUUAAGAAGGCCUGCGGGUUGUAAAAAUCUUUUUUAGGGGAAGAAAAUGAAAGAAACAUAAGAAAAAGGACCGGCUAAUUACG